rnacentral:rRNA from 1 species
GACAUUCCAGACAGGUGGUGCAUGGUUGUCGUCAGCUCGUGUCGUGAGAUGUUGGGUUAAGUCCCGCAACGAGCGCAACCCUUAUCCUUAGUAGCCAGCAGGUAGAGCUGGGCACUCUAGGGAGACUGCCAGGGAUAACCUGGAGGAAGGUGGGGAUGACGUCAAAUCAUCAUGCCCCUUAUGAUUUGGGCUACACACGUGCUACAAUGGCGUAAACAAAGGGAAGCGAGAGCGUGAGCUGGAGCAAAUCCCAAAAAUAACGUCUCAGUUCGGACUGCAGGCUGCAACCCGCCUGCACGAAGCUGGAAUCGCUAGUAAUCGCGAAUCAGAAUGUCGCGGUGAAUACGUUCCCGGGUCUUGUACACACCGCCCGUCACACCAUGGGAGUCAGUAACGCCCGAAGUCAGUGACCGAACCGAAAGGGAGGAGCUGCCGAAGGCGGGACGGAUAACUGGGGUGAAGUCGUAACAAGGUAGCCGUAUCGGAAGGUGCGGCUGGAUCACCUC